ACUCGAAACAAAUUGAAGCCUCCCCACCGAGCAACUUAAUUGAAACCAAUAGUCCCAUUUACUCCCACCAAACCCGACAGCCACUUACACCUUCCGAAACAGCAACCCAUUUACUUCCUCAGUUCCUCCAGUCAAUACGCAUAUGCCUAUUGAAUGUGUCGAAACCUCUGUCCUCACAAAACCUAUUGCCUCUCUCUCUUCUCACAAAACGUGAAACCCUCUCUUCUCUAUAACAGAUUUACUCUCUCCUCCGUUCUCCGUCCUAGUCUUUUGGCAAACUCCUCUGCGAAAUUGAAAUGGGUUCGUUUGUAAUUGCGAGUUUCUCUUAGAUUUAGGGUUCUUAGGGUUCCAUUCUCUUAGAUUGUUCAUCUUCCUCUUCAGCGACAGGGGAGAUAAGAGUGCCCCAAAUCCACUUUCUCUCUCCUCCUCGCCUUCAAACUAGGGUCAAUUGAAGAUAUAUUGAAGAUGAAGGUGUCCGAGAUGGCGGAGGCGAACGUGCUGUGCUACCCCGACGAGGUGGCACUAUGCUGGGUUAAUUUGUACAUGUAUAAAUAUUCGCAGAUUGAGGUAUAUGAUACGGCAUCACUGUCUAUAAAAUCGAUAAGAGCAGUAUAGAAAGCAUGAAACCUUUAUCGACUCUAUUGACAAUGCCCUUAUUCUUCGAUUUGUUUGACGGAGGAGGAGGAAGGGCUUGUCACGGUGGCAUCAUCCUCCGCCCCAAAAAGGAAUUAUUUUCUUUCAAUUGGUAAAAAGCCGGCUUUUUUCGUGGAAUUUUACAACAACGAAGAAGAAGUUGUAGGCACAGAUCGAGCUGGAAUCCAUGGGCGAGGUGGCGGAAGCCCUAUGAGAGCACCGAAUCUUGACUGCAGCUCCCGUCGUCCUCAUGAUUGUUGUGGCUUUUCUUUUCGUCUCUGGUGGCUUGCUUUCCUAUUAGUUAUCAUACCACUAUGGUGGGUCCACUUGAUCGACGGGCCAUGAAGAAGACCAAAACCAAUUUCCUCUGAGAGGUAAGUUUGCUUCUUCCCCUUCCACUUUCUCUGAAGAUCAAACUCGACAACUGAGAGAGAUCUUGCUAAGGAUGAAGAAGCUAGCCAGAACAUUCGGAAAGUCUAAGGACGAUAAGCUUUCUCUUCCUACUCAUGGACGUCCCGACUCCCAUAGACUCCCAAGAACAAGAGGAACUAGUUCGAUCGUUCGAAAGGAACCAAGCUCAACAAAGUCGUUUCUUGAACUGGUUUGCAUCACUUAUUUUCUGCUUCACUGCGUUUCGUAUGUACUCAAUCUUUCAACAGGUUUCUUCUCCUUGGGAAUUGGUAUGAGUAUCUCCAUCGCAAAACUGGGAUCAAUUUCUAUUAUUACAAAUGUGGUGCAUGUGUGGAUCAUUCUUGACAUUAUUUAUGGUAUUUGUUUUCGUGAUUAUUAUUAGGAGAUAUUAGUACUAGGAGCAUCUAGCUCUCUACUGUCUCUGUUUAUGUUUCAUUUAAUUGGAGUGGUGGUUGAAAAGCUACUUUAUUAGGACCGCUAGGACAUAUUUCUAUGUGUUUAAUGAUUAUGGAAUACAACAUGCACCUAUAUGUAACUCCUCAUAAUUAACCGCACGUCUGCACCUAGAUGUUUUCCUUGGCCCGUAAUAGGAUAUAGCUCAUAACUGAUUCAGGAGGGGAUUUCUUAGUGGGAUCAAAGGGUCUUGGAGUUAGGAGGGAGUGUUUGAUGGAUAGGGAAUGGUUCCGUCUGUGUAUUGUGGUUUAUAUUGAGACAUGGGAAAGACAUGUCUUUUGAGAAUGCAGAGGUCCCAAUUGGAGUUUUAAAGCACUAUACUAUUUGCACCCUGCCUAGGGGUCAGUUGGUGAAGAGAUCAAGUGCUUUAAUAUUUAGGCUAUUGAUGAUUGUAGACACUUGCCGUAUACUGCAUCUGAACUGUAUUGAUAGACAAAAAUAUGUUGUCUAUAAACCAAAACAACUUCAAGAAAUGACUGGGCACUCUUUUCCUUUUUCCUCUUAGGAAGAAAACUUCUAGACAAUUUAAACAUUGUUUUUCAUUAAUUGGCUUCAACAGUUCACAGGAUUGGUGAUCAAUUUAUAAUCUUUUAAGUUUCCUUUUGACUAGCAAUGCUCAGUUGCUCAGAUCAUAUUACAAAAGGCCAUUAGACUAACUUGCUAGUUAAAUAAUAAUGGCAACUGUCCAGCAAUUUCAUGCCAUUAAAGUUUUCCAGACUCGUCGCUAAAAUACAGCAUCAAUAUAAAAUAAAAUGGAAUUACUUUAUUGCAAUGCUGUUCUUAGAGAAAACACACUGGGAGAGGCUAUUCUAUGGGGAAUUGACGGGAAGCCAUAUCAUCUUCUAUGCAUGUACGAUUGCCCCCCCCCCCCCCCCCCUCUCUCUCUCUCUCUGUGCACGUGAGUGUGAGUAUGCAAAUUGUUAUUAACCAAGUCUAGACAAUUUGUUUUCGUUAUUGUGGACUAUAAACUUUGCAAAUGGAAUUUCUUAACAGCAACAUGAUGCCUUUAUAUAUUUGUAUUCUUCAUUGUAGAGCCUUUUCCUUUACAUUGGAAGUUAGUAUGUAAAAUACUUUUGUAGACCUGAUUGUUGCGAGGAUUAAGGAGAAUGAUUCUGAUAUCACUCCUUUAAAUGCCAAUUCAGGUGAAGAUAGGAUACUACUGCUCAUUAAUUUAUGUCUUAUUUUUUUAUAUGCUGAUUAUUAAAAUUGGAUUUCGUUGUGGAUAUGAGGCCUUUGCCUAAAUUGGAUGCAGACACCAUGGAAAUCUUCAAGGGGUAAGCAAACUGUGAAUUGCUUUUGUUCAAAUGUACCUCUCAGUCUUAUUUGAUAUUAUUGUCCAGUCUGCAGGCUCAUAUUUGAAAUUGAAAGUAUCUUCUCAGAGAAAGCACAUAAACUCCAGUAAAGGGUAUGUUCUCUCCUUACUUUUGUUAUACUUACUAAUUAUUAUCUUUGUGUUUGCUAUGUGAAGAGCGGAAGGGAGAAGAUGGUGAGUAUUUAAAAUACUUAGCUUAUACAAUCAUUAGCCUGACUUAUCUAUGUUUGUCUCCUUACAGUAACGGAGAUAGGGCUUCAAAAUUCAAAUACAAAUGGAGUUAUGGAGAUAUCUUAAAAGGAUCUCACAUACGUUUAGCUAUAAGACCUCUUCAUUUAUACUUGCUGCUUAUGUUUGAAAUGCUUGAUAUUUUACUUGGGUCUUGGCAUUGUGUAAAUGACUUUAAUUGCAGUUAAACACUCAUAUUGGAUAAAGAAGGUGGGUCUGGAGAACCUAUUAAAGAAAUUCUUAGAUGCUUUUUAAGUUUCAAGUAGAUAUAAGUACUUUUUAUUUGUUCUUCAUGCCUGAACGGAAAGCAUUCCGUAUCUCUCUGUUUUUUUUUUUUUUUGCUUGGUCUUUGAAUCGAAAUGGUAAUGACCUGUAUAGUGUAGCUUGCUAUGAUAGUACUUUUUCUUGUUGAUGUUGUUGCUAUUUGUGUUGAUUGUGAUGGUGGUUUUGUACACUCAGAUGUUGCACCGGGAGUUUCUGAUUUGAGUUUCGUGCAUGGAAAUUUAUAUUGAAGAAACUAAUGACCUUUUGGCUGUAGAGAACCAGAAAUUGCAUAUUCAUGAGUGUUUGGAGAUGGAUUUGGGGACAAGGGUAAGCCUGUAUCGGAAUGUUGUUGAAGUAUAUGAAAAAAAAGUUGGAACUAUUUUCCAAUUAAGCUGUUGGAUGCUCCACCCUCCACACUAGGUGCUGCUGCCUUAGCACUACACUAUGCAAAUAUGUUCCAUCCGCCACACUAGGUGCUGUUGAAAAAGAAGUUGUCCUACUUGUCAAGACAAGGAACUUGCUUUGAAGACUGAGAGUGUUUCUGAGAAACAGCAUUUUACCGUGAAAUGGCUUCAACUGCUGAGACUAGAUGGGAGUUUAGUACAAGAUAGAUGAGGAGCCGUAUAUGUAGGAGUGGACUGAGCAAUUGGAAAGCAGUGACCCUUUUAUGUAGGAGCCAUGUAUGUCGCAGCUGCGUAUGUGCAUAUUUUUGGAACAAAUAUAUAUUGUAUCUGCUUUUGCUGGUUUUCAUUGUUAGUUAGAAUGCAGCAGCCAUCAAGCUGCUCUCUUCUUUUUUUGUUUCAUUGUAUAGAUACUUGAAUGUAUGGAUGAUUGACAAAUGUUAGCUCUUUUGGUACAUUAGAUGCUUGAAUUAGAAUGCUUCAUUACAUAAUA